rnacentral:misc_RNA from 1 species
CCGUCAAGCGCGUGGUGUCGAUCGUCUGGGCGAUCAGCGCCGCGGUCGCGACCUGCGCCGGCGUGCUGCUGGCGCCGAUUACCUUCGUUCACUCCAAUGUCGGUCUGGUGUUGGGGUUGAAGGCUUUNNNNNNNGGCGGCCGUGCUCGGCGGCUUCGGCUCUAUCCCCGGCGCUGUGGUCGGCGGAGUUCUGAUCGGCGUGAUCGAAAGCAUGGCCGGCUUUUAUCUGCCGCAGGGAUGGAAGGACGUCGCGCCCUAUAUCGUGCUGCUCGCGGUGCUGCUGCUGAAACCCGAAGG